AUGCACGCUGGCGGCGUGCCUAAUCCAUGCCGGUCGAGCGAACAGACGAGGAGCUUGCUCCUCUGACGUUAGCGGCGGACGGGUGAGUAACACGUGGAUAACCUACCUAUAAGACUGGGAUAACUUCGGGAAACCGGAGCUAAUACCGGAUAAUAUAUUGAACCGCAUGGUUCAAUAGUGAAAGACGGUUUUGCUGUCACUUAUAGAUGGAUCCGCGCCGCAUUAGCUAGUUGGUAAGGUAACGGCUUACCAAGGCAACGAUGCGUAGCCGACCUGAGAGGGUGAUCGGCCACACUGGAACUGAGACACGGUCCAGACUCCUACGGGAGGCAGCAGUAGGGAAUCUUCCGCAAUGGGCGAAAGCCUGACGGAGCAACGCCGCGUGAGUGAUGAAGGUCUUCGGAUCGUAAAACUCUGUUAUUAGGGAAGAACAAAUGUGUAAGUAACUAUGCACGUCUUGACGGUACCUAAUCAGAAAGCCACGGCUAACUACGUG
rnacentral:rRNA from 1 species